UGUCGUCAGCUCGUGUCGUGAGAUGUUGGGUUAAGUCCCGCAACGAGCGUAACCCUUGUCUUUAGUUGCCAUUAUUAAGUUAGGCACUCUAAAGAGACUGCCUCGGUUAACGGGGAGGAAGGUGGGGAUGACGUCAAGUCCUCAUGGCCUUUAUAUCCAGGGCUACACACGUGCUACAAUGGGCUGUACAAAGGGUUGCUAUCCCGCGAGGGGGCGCUAAUCCCAAAAAGCAGUUCUCAGUUCGGAUUGAAGUCUGCAACUCGACUUCAUGAAGGUGGAAUCGCUAGUAAUCGUGGAUCAGCAUGCCACGGUGAAUACGUUCCCGGGCCUUGUACACACCGCCCGUCACACCACGAAAGUCGACUGUACCAGAAGUUGCUGGGCUAACCUUUUCGGAGGAGGCAGGUACCUAAGGUACGGCCGGUAAUUGGGGUGAAGUCGUAACAAGGUAGCCGUAGGGGAACCUGCGGCUGGAUCACCUCCUUU
rnacentral:ncRNA from 1 species